CUGAAAAAUGUGAGAUCCUACACAAUAAUCCUGUAUUUCUGUUAUUCUCUUCACCCAAACUGAACAAACAUCCAACGUGUUAGCUGAUUCGAACCAAACCUGAAACACUUAAUAAAUCUUUUACUUUUCGGUCAACCCUCUGCCUGUUUAUAGCGUCAAAGCACUUGACAAACUGUGCUAUGCCAAUUUGCUGCUUGUGUGUAUGCGAGUCUGACCUUAGACCUCAAUACUCCGGAAAGAUCAGAAGCAAAAUGAAAACAGGCCAUUAGCUAUGACAUGCUUAUUUCAUCAUAUUUAUUUGAAAUCGAUACGCGAGAUGAAAUAUAAAUUGCUGUGGUUUUCAAACGAUUGUACCGUUGAUAGAUUUUUGAAAUGGCCCAGUGCUGAUAAAAGAAAUGUGUGCACAUGUUUUUCAACGCUUUUAUUUAAUUGUAUGUAAAGAGGCCGAGUGUUUUAUUUACUCCGUGUUGAAAUUGAAUGGAAACGUAAUUUGCUCCGCCGAAUUUUCGCUACACGAGGCAACGAACAAGUUUUCUCAAAAUAUUCACGAGCUAAACACAAAGGAAACCAGCACCAUUGUUAAAUAAACACAAUGUAACUCAACUAUAUAGCCUUGAAAUGCUCUUUAUUCUUUAAUUAAAUAUAACUCGGCUAGUGCCCCAUAAAUUACGUCGUAAGGUUACAUUGAGCUCCAAUGCAACCAGACUUUAUUAUUUUUCUCUGUUAAUUGUCUAUGUCAGACAAUGGUUAUGACAACGCCUUAACGCCGUUUAUUACAGCAGGUUGAAGACCUCAAAGUAUGCUAAAGAUUUGUCCCUAAGAAAAUUUUAGACUUAAAUCCUUAAUUUAUUAAAGGGAUUAAGCAUUUGACAAAUUUCAGCGAGAUUUUUCAGAAAAUAGAGAACUGGUAUGGAUUAAUAGUAUUGUACAUUUUGUCUUGGUUGUAUCAAAAAUUUGAUAGGCACUUAGUAAUUUUACUGUGUCUAACUUUAUACUCUUCCGAUGCCAGACAGUUGUCUGCGCAUGCACGCGAGCCCCAGAAGGCAAAUGCCGCAAAUACUAAUGUUAGAGGGUACCUGAAAAGAUUUAGCAUUUCUGCAUUUUGUCAUAAAUGAAUGUCGUACAGGCAUAUUAUUUAUUCAAAAAAAAUUCUUCCAUUUAUUUCAUAUACUAUUUAGUAUACCUAAAAUGAGUUAACAGCUCUGUCAUGCUAUGUAGAAAAUAUUUUUCCAGAAUAGACGUUAUGCAGGAGUUGAAAUAGUAUAGUGGGGAAUGUUGGAUGUUUAUGGAUUAUUGUUGACAUGAAUGCUUGUUUGUCUCCCCGUCUUAUAUAUAUUCUUGAUAUAAUGUACUCU
rnacentral:lncRNA from 1 species